rnacentral:lncRNA from 1 species
UUUCUGGAGACAUCUUUCCACUGUCUUCCUGACCUCAGUAUCUGAUAUGUAAAGCCCAGAGCCUCACUGAGACCUGUCAUGAUCAGGUGGUGAUGUCUACACCAUAUCAACUCACCUCACGGAGAAGCAUGAGUGAACAACAACAACAAGAAAAAAAAAACCAAACGAAACAGUCGUAUCACAGUCUCAGAUUUCUAGAAUCUGAACACAAUGCCACCACCGUCAACCCCUCACCAUGAAAUUCAGUUUCAUGCACAAAAUCAUUUCAAUAUUGCAUAAAGCAUAAAGCUCACUCCAGGCCCUGUGCAUAAUUUGCUUAUGCCACAGACAUGAGUUUUAUGUUCCUAUCUGGGUCAGGGUAUC